rnacentral:rRNA from 1 species
AGUGAACGCUGGCGGUAGGCCUAACACAUGCAAGUCGAACGGCAGCACAGUAAGAGCUUGCUCUUACGGGUGGCGAGUGGCGGACGGGUGAGGAAUACAUCGGAAUCUACUUUUUCGUGGGGGAUAACGUAGGGAAACUUACGCUAAUACCGCAUACGACCUACGGGUGAAAGCAGGGGAUCUUCGGACCUUGCGCGACUGAAUGAGCCGAUGUCGGAUUAGCUAGUUGGCGGGGUAAAGGCCCACCAAGGCGACGAUCCGUAGCUGGUCUGAGAGGAUGAUCAGCCACACUGGAACUGAGACACGGUCCAGACUCCUACGGGAGGCAGCAGUGGGGAAUAUUGGACAAUGGGCGCAAGCCUGAUCCAGCCAUACCGCGUGGGUGAAGAAGGCCUUCGGGUUGUAAAGCCCUUUUGUUGGGAAAGAAAAGCAGCAGGUUAAUACCCCGCUGUUCUGACGGUACCCAAAGAAUAAGCACCGGCUAACUCCGUG